CAGUAUUUCCCUGGGUUCCUGUGAUGGGGGUGGGGGCUGUCCUGACUGCUGGAGCUCUGCUACUCACCAUAUACUGCACUCUGAAGAGGAGAUCCACAGGAGGAAGUGAUACCACUGCAGACACACAGAAUGUGAGAGACUCUCCCAGUGACACAGCCCCUCAGAUAGAUGCUGAGCCCUCCGUUUAUGAGAACUGGAGCGAACCACCACAGAACCUGGACAGUGACACAGACCCUCAGAUAGAUGCUGAGCCCUCCGAUUAUGAGAACUGGAGAGAACCACAAAAGAACCUGGACUGAACAGAACCACCACAGAACCUGGACAGUGACACAGACCCUCAGAUAGAUGCUGAGCCCUCCAAUUAUGAGAACUGGAGAGAACCACCACAGGACCUGGACAGUGACACAGACCCUCAGAUAGAUGCUGAGCCCUCCGAUUAUGAGAACUGGAGAGAACCACAAAAGAACCUGGACUGAAGAGAACCACCACAGAACCUGGACCAAAGAGAACCACCAUAGAACUUGGACUGAAGAGAACCAAAACAGUACCUGGACUGAAGAGCUACAGCAUCAAACCAAAGCUAGGCCUCACAAUGCUAUUCUCUUACUAUCAUUAUGCUUUAUAGUCUAGAAGGUUUGAGACAAUGACCUUUAACUUUUGAGUAAAUGCUGGAAUUUAGAUUGUUCUCCUAAUGAUAAAUACAGUAUGUAUAUAGAUGAUCAAUACAGUAUGUAUAUAGAUGAUCAAUACAGUAUGUAUAUAGAUGAUCAAUACAGUAUGUAUAUAGAUGAUCAAUACAGUAUGUAUA